UUCAGACCCUUUGCGGAAGUCUGCAAUGACCCCAAGGUACCAGAAGAGGAUGACUCUAACAAGCUGGGGAAGAAGGUGAUCCUCCGAGAGCAGGUGAAGGAGCUCUUCAAUGAGAAAUACGGUGAGGCCCUGGGACUGAAUCGGCCUGUGCUAGUUCCUUACAAACUGAUCCGGGACAGCCCAGAUGCUGUGGAGGUGAAGGGCCUCCCAGAUGACAUCCCCUUCCGGAACCCCAACACCUAUGACAUCCAUCGGCUGGAGAAGAUCCUGAAGGCCAGGGAGCAUGUACGGAUGGUCAUCAUCAACCA